UAAUAGAAUAGCCUAAAAUGCCUAAAAUAAAGUGGAAGCAUAUAUUCCGUCCUGUAUAAACACCAGUGUUAGCAUUAACACACUCGAUAUGAUGAAUGCAUUAUUGGAUGUUUAUCUACAUAUGUAUUUGUUAUAAAAUAUAGUAUCGUUGAGGCGUCCACAGGGUUAGCGGCAUCAACAUCGACGAUUUCUCAGGAAUGUUGCAAAGAACAAUUAGCACGGCGGGAAUAUAUUCAUACGAAAUGGAGUUCGCCCACCCACAGGGGACUGUCGCUUGUUACAUCCUCAACUGUCAAGUGACAGAGAGGAAGAACGUGAAACCAUGAUAAUAAUGAACUUAAAUAUUAAUCUAGCUGUAUUCUGUAAUAAGAGGAUAUUUUAGUUUAUCCCAGUUGCGUCCGGGGUUGUGAAGCCACAAAGCCCGGUCUGAGCGUAAAAAAAAUCCCUUAAAAUUUUGAAGACUCGGCUGUGAUUUUCGUCAACCAUCAUUGGGAAUGCUAUUAUUACUUAUCUACCUGCUCGUAUGACAUCCACGGGAGGAUAUGGAGUGGGUCCUAUUCUAGGGCGGAACCACACGCUACAAUGUCAGUUUGUUGUGAACAUACAAACAAGCUUGUUAAAUAAGCAAUGUUACAAUACUUUAAAACCAUGUUUUGUUCAUAACUCAUUAGCUUAUCGAUAAAUACCCAAAACGAUCUAUAUGUUUUAUCAAUCAAAUCGAUGUUAAUGUACCAUAAAGUAUGGCAUUUGUUGGAAUAUUCUCACAUGUAGUAUAGUUGCGUGUUGGGACCCUACUUGACAGUGCAAUAAAAUGGUGUUUAAACAAUCUUUGUUUUUAAUUCUCAUUUACAUUUCAUAUUCUUCUUCGGCUAAGUUGAAAUUCAGAGUGAAGCUCCUUAAUGUGUCUUCGUGUCCAAAUCCUGAGUACCCAGUUGACAUAGAGUCACCAGUUUCAGUCUUUCCCUUUAUACGGGACAACAAUAAGGAUAAAUCAUUGAUGGAUAUCUACUAUAAUGUUACUCGACCAUUUGGUCCUUUAUCUUUGUAUUUUAGAGUAUACCAAAUACAGAAUGAAGGUAAACUAAAACUGAUUUUCAAGUCGGAACGAGCGACUUGCAAAAACCCCAUCACAUUUCAUGUGAUUCGUUUGGUAAGAGGUCCUGUCGACAAAAAUUGUAUGGU